GACGAACGCUGGCGGCGUGCUUAACACAUGCAAGUCGAACGAAGAGCGAUGGAAGCUUGCUUCUAUCAAUCUUAGUGGCGAACGGGUGAGUAACGCGUAAUCAACCUGCCCUUCAGAGGGGGACAACAGUUGGAAACGACUGCUAAUUCCGCAUACGAUCUAAUCUCGGCAUCGAGGAUAGAUGAAAGGUGGCCUCUACAUGUAAGCUAUCACUGAAGGAGGGGAUUGCGUCUGAUUAGCUAGUUGGAGGGGUAACGGCCCACCAAGGCGAUGAUCAGUAGCCGGUCUGAGAGGAUGAACGGCCACAUUGGGACUGAGACACGGCCCAGACUCCUACGGGAGGCAGCAGUGGGGAAUCUUCCGCAAUGGACGAAAGUCUGACGGAGCAACGCCGCGUGAGCGAUGACGGCCUUCGGGUUGUAAAGCUCUGUUAAUCGGGACGAAAGGCCUUCUUGCGAAUAGGGAGAAGGAUUGACGGUACCGGAAUAGAAAGCCACGGCUAACUACGUG
rnacentral:rRNA from 1 species